GGAUAAACGCUGGCGGCGUGCCUAAUACAUGCAAGUCGAGCGAACGGACGAGAAGCUUGCUUCUCUGAUGUUAGCGGCGGACGGGUGAGUAACACGUGGAUAACCUACCUAUAAGACUGGGAUAACUUCGGGAAACCGGAGCUAAUACCGGAUAAUAUUUUGAACCGCAUGGUUCAAAAGUGAAAGACGGUCUUGCUGUCACUUAUAGAUGGAUCCGCGCUGCAUUAGCUAGUUGGUAAGGUAACGGCUUACCAAGGCAACGAUGCAUAGCCGACCUGAGAGGGUGAUCGGCCACACUGGAACUGAGACACGGUCCAGACUCCUACGGGAGGCAGCAGUAGGGAAUCUUCCGCAAUGGGCGAAAGCCUGACGGAGCAACGCCGCGUGAGUGAUGAAGGUCUUCGGAUCGUAAAACUCUGUUAUUAGGGAAGAACAUAUGUGUAAGUAACUGUGCACAUCUUGACGGUACCUAAUCAGAAAGCCACGGCUAACUACGUGCCAGCAGCCGCGGUAAUACGUAGGUGGCAAGCGUUAUCCGGAAUUAUUGGGCGUAAAGCGCGCGUAGGCGGUUUUUUAAGUCUGAUGUGAAAGCCCACGGCUCAACCGUGGAGGGUCAUUGGAAACUGGAAAACUUGAGUGCAGAAGAGGAAAGUGGAAUUCCAUGUGUAGCGGUGAAAUGCGCAGAGAUAUGGAGGAACACCAGUGGCGAAGGCGACUUUCUGGUCUGUAACUGACGCUGAUGUGCGAAAGCGUGGGGAUCAAACAGGAUUAGAUACCCUGGUAGUCCACGCCGUAAACGAUGAGUGCUAAGUGUUAGGGGGUUUCCGCCCCUUAGUGCUGCAGCUAACGCAUUAAGCACUCCGCCUGGGGAGUACGACCGCAAGGUUGAAACUCAAAGGAAUUGACGGGGACCCGCACAAGCGGUGGAGCAUGUGGUUUAAUUCGAAGCAACGCGAAGAACCUUACCAAAUCUUGACAUCCUUUGACAACUCUAGAGAUAGAGCCUUCCCCUUCGGGGGACAAAGUGACAGGUGGUGCAUGGUUGUCGUCAGCUCGUGUCGUGAGAUGUUGGGUUAAGUCCCGCAACGAGCGCAACCCUUAAGCUUAGUUGCCAUCAUUAAGUUGGGCACUCUAAGUUGACUGCCGGUGACAAACCGGAGGAAGGUGGGGAUGACGUCAAAUCAUCAUGCCCCUUAUGAUUUGGGCUACACACGUGCUACAAUGGACAAUACAAAGGGCAGCGAAACCGCGAGGUCAAGCAAAUCCCAUAAAGUUGUUCUCAGUUCGGAUUGUAGUCUGCAACUCGACUACAUGAAGCUGGAAUCGCUAGUAAUCGUAGAUCAGCAUGCUACGGUGAAUACGUUCCCGGGUCUUGUACACACCGCCCGUCACACCACGAGAGUUUGUAACACCCGAAGCCGGUGGAGUAACCUUUUAGGAGCUAGCCGUCGAAGGUGGGACAAAUGAUUGGGGUGAAGUCGUAACAAGG
rnacentral:rRNA from 1 species